ACUCAAUAGAUACCCGGGUAGUCCACGCUGUAAACGAUGGGCACCCAGGUGUGGGGGGUGUCGACUCCCUCCGUGCCGAAAGCUAAACGCAUUAAGCGCCCCGCCUGGGGAGUACGGCCGCAAGGCUAAAACUCAAAGGAAUUGACGGGGGCCCGGCACAAGCAGCGGAGCAUGUGGUUUAAAUUCGACGCAACGCGAAGAACCUUACCUGGGCUUGACAUGUAGGUCAUACCCGUGGAAACACGGGGUCAGUUCGGCUGGACCUUCACAGGUGGUGCAUGGCUGUCGUCAGCUCGUGUCGUGAGAUGUUGGGUUAAGUCCCGCAACGAGCGCAACCCCGUCGCAUGUUGCCAGCAUUUAGUUGGGGACUCAUGCGAGACUGCCGGUGACAAACCGGAGGAAGGUGGGGAUGACGUCAAGUCAUCAUGCCCCUUAUGUCCAGGGCUACACACGUGCUACAUUGGCACGUACAGAGGGCCGCGAUACCGUGAGGUGGAGCGAAUCCCUUAAAGCGUGUCUCGGUUCGGAUUGCAGGCUGAAA
rnacentral:rRNA from 1 species